UACGUAGGGUGCAAGCGUUAAUCGGAAUUACUGGGCGUAAAGCGUGCGCAGGCGGUUUUGCAAGACAGAUGUGAAAUCCCCGGGCUCAACCUGGGAACUGCAUUUGUGACUGCACGGCUGGAGUGCGGCAGAGGGGGAUGGAAUUCCGCGUGUAGCAGUGAAAUGCGUAGAUAUGCGGAGGAACACCGAUGGCGAAGGCAAUCCCAUGGGCCUGCACUGACGCUCAUGCACGAAAGCGUGGGGAGCAAACAGG
rnacentral:rRNA from 1 species